AAGGUUCCUUACACUUAUUACAAAUAGCAACACUAUUUUCUUUAUCAAAAGUCAUAAAUUGCCACACAAUAGAAGUUUUAGGUCCUUGAUACUUCACCUUCUCCCUUGUGGGAGGUAUAAGGGGUGGAUGUCCAAAAUUUUGCUCCGAUAAAUUGAUAGUCUCAUUUGGAACUUCUGUCACCGGACUAGUAGGUGUUUCAUCUAACUCCUCUUCUCCCAAAUCAGCUUCUACUUCUUCACCUAAAUUUUCAUCAACAUUAGGAUUAAUAUUACCAUAACGUCGUUCUAAACUUUCGUGAUAAAGUUGAACAUUUGAAUCAAUAUUAUAAGGAGUAUCAUCAACAUAAGUAGAAUCAUUUAUGUUAAAUCUAACUCUACUCGUUGAUUUAGAUGAAGUACCACCACUUUUACUAUUCUUUUUUUCUUUACUAUUUUUUUUUACCAAAAUUAAAUGAUUUAAAAAGUCCACUUUCUUCGUUAUCUUGUCUUUCUCUUUUCCUUUACCGCUAUUUUUUUUGCUAGAACUCAUACUUAAUUAUAUAUUUCUCUUAUAUUAGAAAGAGCUUAAUCAACAUGUCUGUUUCAUCUCCAUACAAUUCUAUUUUGUUUCCACGUGUCUGUGUGAUCAUCCAAGUUUUUAUACGUGGCUUCCAUUCUUGAGCUUUAUCCCUAUAAGCUUUCACGGAGAUCUCUACAGAUGAAGUCCAACUGCAAUCCAGAUAGAACAACCCCUCCAUGUAACACUCUUAAGCUGUGCAAAUCAAAAUUCUCAGAGCUGGCUUUUACAAGGCAUGCAUAAGUGAAGUUAUCAGGCAUUAUUUCAGAAUGAAGCACAUCAUUAAACAGCGAAAAUGCAUUUCUAAAUUUGUGGGCUCUAGCAUAACCUCGAAUUAAGGAGUUCCAGAGGCAAAUGGUUCGGUGAGGAGUUUUAUCAAACAGUUUGUGUGCAGAGAUGACGUCGUUAUUUAGAGCAUUAAGUGUGAAAAUCUAAAGAUCUGCAACUACUUAUGCCAAAAUUUGAACUAUCGAUGUGUCUUCUUAGCAAAUUCAAGGAUCUGGAACUACUUAUACCAGAUUUGAACUACGGGACCUGAGAGAGUUAGCGAACCGAUUAUUAUGGGUGCUUCGUUUGGUAAUGGGGAGGAUGUCAAUCUGCAUCUAGCCAGGGAAGCUGGCCACUCCUAUCGCCAAAUAGUCCGUGCUGCUAAUAUGAGAGUCAGAGAGAUAGAAAAGGCUCUUAUUAGAGGCAAUUAUUGAGUAUCCUACAACACACGUGUUUCAACACCAUUUGCUACAGAUUUGUUGACCACUCAAGUAGAACAAAAAAUGAGAGGGUAUGUGCAGGUUUGGACAAUGCAAUGAGAUGUGUUGUAAGAGUCCUGUUCUGAAGGAUUAACAAUGGCGUGUUUAUAUUGUUCGUGCCCCUGACUCUAUUUGCUAUGUGAGAUUUGGACAGAUUAUAAAGGUUAACUGGGCGUAUGCCGGUGCUUAAACAGAGGACACAUCAAGUGUGUAUCUUUUCUCACCUCAAUUUUAGACCCUCUUAAUUUUUUACAUUAUCUUUUCAAGAACUAAAACUGUUUCUUCUCAUUUGCAGAUCAUUUUAACAUAUUUGUGGGUCAUCUCACUGGCUUCUUAUACGUUCUAUUCUGUAUUUAUUUUGUACUAUACACGUUCUCCUUGCAUUCAUAUUUUUAAAAAUGGAUGAAUGUAGUUGAUGCUACAUUGAUGUUUCUCUUACAGAGAUGCUAGAGUAAUGUGGAAUCAGAAAACAGGCCAAUCUAGGAGAUUUGAAUUUGUUUCCUUUUGUAAUCAGCUGCUAUUAAGCUAGCUAAAUAUUAUCUUCUGAACUUCCGCUAGGAUUGCAAAUAAAAAAUAAAUAAAAACUGACACUAAUCCUUGUAAAGAAAGAGCAUUAUUAAUGUCACAUAAUGGAUAUAAACAUCUCAACUUUAUAUGACAAGUACCCAAUAUUAUACUUUCUAAACAAGAAGAGUGACCUUAAUCCUUAUUACCGUGUGAGAUUUGGGUUAUCUACCACACCUACUUUGUUUCUUGGCUGGAAGUUUUCUAUGGAGUAGUAGAACAUUUUUUAGCGGGGUCAGGUAAAGGGUAAGGAUUAAGUCCAGUAAGGUGCAGAGCAAGAAUGUGGGGUGAGUGAGUAUUUGUCAGUGAAUGAAUGUAUUGAUUGGAGGCACCAAAUUAGCUGAUAUUCUGCAUAUCGCACGGGACAUUGAAAGCAACCUUUAUUUGCAUCAUAAGCAAUAUUAAUUUUUUUCUUUCAAAUAUACUAUGUUAUAAUCCAAAUUAGAAAUAUUUGUCUGUAUAAGUUAAGUUUUAUUUUUAACAAAUAAAAGGACAAGUGUUAAAAAAGAAUAACUCCAUUUAUCAGCCUUAAAUAUGACAACAUUCAUGUGUUGUUAUAGUUGGUGAAAUAACUUAUGACAAAGUUUAUAACUUAUACUAUUUGAUUGAGUAAAUUGGUUUAAUUACAAGUGACUUUUAUUAGUCUUUAUUGCUACUAUAGUAGAAAUGGCUUAUUUCAACAUGUGUGCUUCUUACCACUUUAAAACAUAAAGGCUGGUGACUCAGAAUUCCGAUAGCAGCUUAACGAAUGAUAAAGAUGAGGAUGAGGAUAAUGGAGAAGAAGACCAUGAUGAUGAUGAUGACGGUGUCGGUAGUGCUGCUGCUGCUGCUGAUGGUGGUGAUAUCAACACGGAAGACGAUAGGGAUAACAAAGAGAAGGCUAAGGAAGCUGAUGAUGGGAACAAAGACCGUAGUAAUUGUAAGAGUGAUCCGCUUAUCGCAGAUCAUGUUAGAGUCCUUUGGAUGGAUGAGUCUGAGUCUACAGAGAGUAGUAAUAAUGUCAUAGUUGUCGAUAGAUGAUUUCUGCAUGGUGAUUAUGUUGCUGCAGCUUCUGAUCCAACAGGUCAAGUAGGACUCGUGGUUGAUAUCAAUAUGUCUGUAGAUUUAUUAGAGCACGAUGGCUCUAUUUUUAAAAAUGUCUCAUCUAGAGAGUUGAAACGUGUUCGGGGUUUUACAGUUGGUGAUUAUGUUGUCCUUGGCCCUUGGUUGGGUAGAAUUGAUGAUGUUUUUGAUAAUGUCACAGUGAUGUUUGAUGAUGGUUCUGUAUGUAAAGUUAUGAAGGCUGACCCUUUACAUCUUAAACCAGUUGGUAGGAAUGGCCUUGAAGAUGGACAUUUUCCUUUCUAUCCUGGUCAGCGUGUAAAAGCUAGCUUCAUCGUCAGUUUUCAAGAAUUCCAGAUGGUUAUCUGGCUCAUCGAAAGCAAAUAGGUGCUUACUACUGAAAAGCAGGAAAAAUGCAGCACUAAUGCUAACAAGAAGCUAACAAAGCGAGGCUGUUAAAGAAGAGUUUGUUCCGGUUAUAAUACUAACAAGAAGCUAACAAAGCGAGGCUGUUAAAGAAGAGCUUGUUCCGGUUUCGGAUACGAGAAUAAGAACGGAAGUACAAGAGGACAAGAAGGAGAAGAGACGAGUACAGUUUCACUUGCUCGGUAACCUCUUUCCCGAUCAGAGAUAGGAAAGAAUCCAAAGCUUGCAAGGAUGUUAGGUAAAUAGUAUGGAUAUAACAUCCAAUGUAAACAAUGAGGCCACAAACAAUUGCUUUUUUAGUAUGGAUAUAACAUCCAAUGUAAACAAUGAGGCCACAAACAAUUGCUUUUUUA